rnacentral:rRNA from 1 species
CCCUUUGGGGCCGAGAAAUUCCGCCGUGCAUGUGUAAGCGAAGCUUUUAGUGGAGCGGUGAAAGGCUCAGUAACGGGCGAUUUAUUUGUUCUCCUGUGACGGACAACAUCGGGAAACUGAUGGGAAAACGUCUAAGUUGCAGUUAAUUGAUUGUGACGUAAACGAAUUUGUGCAGGAGAGUAAGAUGCCAUCCUAUCAGUUAGUAAGUAGGGUAAGGGCCUACUUAGACGAAGACGGGUACGGGGAAUGAGGGUUUGAUUCCGGAGAGGGAGCCUGAA